rnacentral:rRNA from 1 species
AGCAAUACGUAUUGUAAAGUGGCGCACGGGUGAGUAACACGUGGGUAAUCUGCCCUUGAGUUUGGGAUAACCCCGCGAAAGCGGGGCUAAUACCGGAUAAGACCACGGGGACCAAAGUCCCUGAGGUAAAAGGUGGCCUCUAUUUAUAAGCUACCACUUGAGGAUGAGCCCGCGGCCCAUUAGCUAGUUGGCAGGGUAACGGCCUACCAAGGCAAUGAUGGGUAGCUGGUCUGAGAGGACGAUCAGCCACACUGGAACUGAGACACGGUCCAGACUCCUACGGGAGGCAGCAGUGGGGAAUAUUGCGCAAUGGGCGAAAGCCUGACGCAGCAACGCCGCGUGGGGGAUGAAGGUUCUCGGAUUGUAAACCCCUUUCGAUCGGAACGAAUCCCCUCCUGGUAAAUAAUCAGGAGGAUCGACGGUACCGAGAGAAGAAGCCACGGCUAACUCUGUGCCAGCAGCCGCGGUAAGACAGAGGUGGCGAGCGUUGUUCGGAUUUAUUGGGCGUAAAGCGAACGCAGGUGGUUUGGUAAGUCAGGGGUGAAAGCCCACAGCUUAACUGUGGCAUUGCCUUUGAUACUGCCUUUCUUGAGUAGAGUAGGGGGAAGCGGAAUUCCGAGUGUAGAGGUGAAAUUCGUAGAUAUUCGGAGGAACACCGGUGGCGAAGGCGGCUUCCUGGACUCUAACUGACACUCAUGUUCGAAAGCGUGGGGAGCAAACAGGAUUAGAUACCCUGGUAGUCCACGCCCUAAACGAUGGGCACUAGGUGUGGGAGGUAUCGACCCCUUCCGUGCCGCAACUAACGCAUUAAGUGCCCCCCCUGGGAGUACGGCCGCAAGGUUGAAAAUCAAAU